rnacentral:rRNA from 1 species
AUACGUAGGGUGCAAGCGUUGUCCGGAAUUAUUGGGCGUAAAGAGCUCGUAGGCGGUUUGUCGCGUCUGCUGUGAAAACCCGAGGCUCAACCUCGGGCCUGCAGUGGGUACGGGCAGACUAGAGUGCGGUAGGGGAGAAUGGAAUUCCUGGUGUAGCGGUGGAAUGCGCAGAUAUCAGGAGGAACACCGAUGGCGAAGGCAGUUCUCUGGGCCGUUACUGACGCUGAGGAGCGAAAGCGUGGGGAGCGAACAGGAUUAGAUACCCUGGUAGUCCACGCCGUAAACGUUGGGAACUAGAUGUGGGGACCUUUCCACGGUCUCCGUGUCGCAGCUAACGCAUUAAGUUCCCCGCCUGGGGAGUACGGCCGCAAGGCUAAA